UACGUAGGGUGCGAGCGUUGUCCGGUAUUACUGGGCGUAAAGAGCUCGUAGGUGGUUUGUCGCGUUGUUCGUGAAAACUCACAGCUUAACUGUGGGCGUGCGGGCGAUACGGGCAGACUGGAGUACUGCAGGGGAGACUGGAAUUCCUGGUGUAGCGGUGGAAUGCGCAGAUAUCAGGAGGAACACCGGUGGCGAAGGCGGGUCUCUGGGCAGUAACUGACGCUGAGGAGCGAAAGCGUGGGGAGCGAACAGG
rnacentral:rRNA from 1 species